rnacentral:rRNA from 1 species
GCAAGUCGAGCGCUCUCCUUCGGGAGGGAGCGGCGGACGGGUUAGUAACGCGUGGGAAUAUGCCCUUCUCUAAGGAAUAGCCUCGGGAAACUGAGAGUAAUACCUUAUACGCCCUUUUGGGGAAAGAUUUAUCGGAGAAGGAUUAGCCCGCGUUGGAUUAGGUAGUUGGUGGGGUAAUGGCCUACCAAGCCUACGAUCUAUAGCUGGUUUGAGAGGACGAUC